rnacentral:misc_RNA from 1 species
CGCACCUUGCGCUCCUUGGUAUUCCGAGGAGCAUGCCUGUUUGAGUGUCGUGAAAUUAUCAACUCCCUUACUUUAUUGAAAGGGGGCUUGGAUUUGGGGACUUGCUGGGACUUGUUAUUUCAGCUUCCCUUGAAUGUAUUAGCUGGAAUUUGAUUUUUUGGCAGCAUAUAUGCGGUGUGAUAAUGUCGUCACUGUGUAGCGGUCAAGUCAUCUGGCUUCUAAUUGUCUCUUCGGAGACUCAUUUGAUAAAUUUGACCUCAAAUCAGGUAGGAUUACCCGCUGAACUUAA